rnacentral:rRNA from 1 species
CACCGGCGGCCCGAGUGGUAAUCACUUUUAUUGGGUCUAAAGGGUCCGUAGCCGGUUUGAUCAGUUCUUCGGGAAAUCUGACAGCUCAACUGUUAGGCUUCCGGGGAAUACUGUCAGACUUGGGACCGGGAGAGGUAAGAGGUACUACAGGGGUAGGAGUGAAAUCUUGUAGUCCCUGUGGUACCACCAGUGGCGAAGGCGUCUUACCAGAACGGGUCCGACGGUGAGGGACGAAAGCUGGGGGCACGAACCGGAUUAGAUACCCGGGUAGUCCCAGCCGUAAACGAUGUUCGCUAGGUGUCAGGGACGGUGCGACCGUUUCUGGUGCUGCAGGGAAGCCGUGAAGCGAACCACCUGGGAAGUACGGCCGCAAGGCUGAAACUUAAAGGAAUUGGCGGGGAGCACUACAACGGGUGGAGCCUGCGGUUU